CUACGGGGGGCUGCAGUGAGGAAUAUUGCACAAUGGAGGAAACUCUGAUGCAGCAACGCCGCGUGGAGGAUGACGCAUUUCGGUGUGUAAACUCCUUUUAUAUGUCAAGAAAAUGACGGUGGCAUAUGAAUAAGCACCGGCUAACUCCGUGCCAGCAGCCGCGGUAAUAGCGGAGGGGCAAGCGUUACUCGGAAUCACUGGGCGUAAAGGACGCGUAGGCGGGUUGGAAAGUCAGGUGUGAAAUCCUACAGCUUAACUGUAGAACUGCACUUGAAACUUCUAAUCUAGAGUAUGGGAGGGGGAGAUGGAAUUAGUGGUGUAGGGGUAAAAUCCGUAGAUAUCACUAGGAAUACCUAAAGCGAAGGCGAUCUCCUGGAACAUUACUGACGCUAAGGCGUGAAAGCGUGGGGAGCAAACAGGAUUAGAUACCCGUGUAGUC
rnacentral:rRNA from 1 species